rnacentral:rRNA from 1 species
AUUGAACGCUGGCGGAAUGCUUUACACAUGCAAGUCGAACGGCAGCACGGACUUCGGUCUGGUGGCGAGCGGCGAACGGGUGAGUAAUGUAUCGGAACGUGCCCAGUCGUGGGGGAUAACGUAGUGAAAAUUACGCUAAUACCGCAUACGAUCUAUGGAUGAAAGCGGGGGAUCGCAAGACCUCGCGCGAUUGGAGCGGCCGCUAUCAGAUUAGGUAGUUGGUGGGGUAAAGGCCCACCAAGCCAACGAUCUGUAGCUGGUCUGAGAGGACGACCAGCCACACUGGAACUGAGACACGGUCCAGACUCCUACGGGAGGCAGCAGUGGGGAAUUUUGGACAAUGGGCGAAAGCCUGAUCCAGCCAUUCCGCGUGCAGGAUGAAGGCCCUCGGGUUGUAAACUGCUUUUGUACAGAACGAAAAGGUUUCUACUAAUACUAGGAGCUCAUGACGGUACUGUAAGAAUAAGCACCGGCUAACUACGUGCCAGCCGCCGCGGUAA